UUAAAUGCUGUGAUCAGGAAAAGUAAACUAUAUGAAUCAGACAGAGAGAAGUUUCUAGGGUGAGAGAACUUUAUGUUGGAUUAUAGUUGAAGUGCCCCUGUGAGCAUUAAGCCGAAGAAAGUAGGCUGAUACGUGAGCUCACGUUAUAGAGCUAUGACAUGAUUGUGUCAGAAUAAAGAUGGGUAUUUUAUACCUAAUCAGAGUGGAACCGCGGAAUUUAACCUUCUGCCUCUGUA
rnacentral:ncRNA from 1 species